CCUACGGGUGACAGCAGUGGGGGAUAUUGCACAAUGGGGGAAACCCUGAUGCAGCGACGCCGCGUGUAGGAAGAAGGUCCUCUGGAUUGUAAACUACUGUCCCCAGGGACGAAGAUGACGGUACCUGGGGAGGAAGCUCCGGCUAACUACGUGCCAGAAGCCGCGGUAAUACGUGGGGAGCGAGCGUUGUCCGGAAUUCCUGGGUGAAAAGGGAGCGUAGGGGGGGAUGCAAGUUGGGUGUUAAAUCUACUGGCUCAACUGGUAGUCGCACUCAAAACUGCAGCUCUUGAGUGAAGUAGAGGCAGGCGGAAUUCCUAGUGUAGCGGUGAAAUGCGUAGAUAUUAGGAGGAACACCAGUGGCGAAGGCGGCCUGCUGGGCUUUUACUGACGCUGAGGCUCGAAAGUGUGGGGAGCAAACAGGAUUAGAUACCCUUGUAGUC
rnacentral:rRNA from 1 species